GAGAGAGAGAGGGAAGGAAGGAAGGAAGGAAGGAUAAAACUUUAAGUCAUGCCGGCCGCUGCGAUAUUUUAUAUCAUUGAACCAAAUGCCUGUACAGUACAGAUACACUGCGGCUCCAACAAAGGAGCAGCUGAAUGAGAAACCAAAGGAGCAAAACUUUUUUUUUUUUUUUGUUCAAUACAGUACAUACACAAAAUAGAUAAUUAGGCGUGUACGGUUCUGGCUUUAGGCACCAUCGAAGUUGCACCUCCACCCCCCUGAAGCAAGAGAUUCAAAUGAAUUCAGGAGGAUCACAACAAUCCGGCUAGAAUCAACUUUCAUGGAGAAACUGGACUACUACAUGCCAAGACUGUUGUCUUUAUUCAAGAGGAAAGGAGGUGCUGCAGGGGUGAAAUUGGAGGGGAUCCAGGAAAUUCCGUAUGGGAGCAACACUGUUGAGAAGAGAAACCAUGAUCCUUGGCCUCAUCAUAUACCUCGGUGAGAACGUGGAGGACCCUUUCAAAGAAUGCCAGGAUGCAGAGGAUGCCAACAUUCAAGAGGACCUCACACAAGAUCUUCAUGGUCAACAAAUGUGCCACCGAUGACGACAAUCCAGUGGAUGUGGGGAUAGCCAUUGAAGGAGCCGAUGCCCUAUCUGGUAUUUCUAGUGUAGCACAGGCAUGCGCUUUCUUGAUGGGCCGUAUCUACGCCUUAAACCUAAGCUACCCCAAAAAACUGAAAUAUACCUUUGAUGUAUUCCAGAAAGUCUUGGAACUGAAUGUAGAGAAAACCACCUCCAAGGUCCAGCCACUUAGGAGAAAUUUACUCGCCUAAAUGGCAAGCAUAAAACCCAAAGGUGGAGCUUUUGUGUUUGGAUGAUAGAUCCUUUGUCAGAAUCUAAACUGUUAAAUGCUUAAAGUUAACUACCACUUGAACUUCUGAGUUUACUUGAAUGAACAGCUGUUUGUUUAAUUUGUAACACGGGAAUCUGCUAUUGUUUCUGCCAGAGAAAACGGAUUUCAACAUGUUAAAUGCUCACAGAUUGACUUUUUUCUCUUUGCCUGUUUUGAGGAAACAAAACCUAAUUAUGUUUGUGUCCAUUUUCAAAUGUUACAGUAGACAAACUGUUUCUUUAAAGGGAUAGUUCACUUUUUACACCUUAUAGUCAGAUGGUUCCUUACCCUGAAAGUGGUCAGUGGGCCUGGAGAAACUGUAAUCCAGGGUUUAUAGUUGUUUAAAUAGCAACUACUAACUUCAGCUAACUUUAACCUGGCUAACAACAACAAAAACCAUGGAAGUGAUGGGGGCAAUUAGACAGAGUUCAAAAUUGCAUAGUCAAAUCAACUCGAAUGAACCUUCUUACUUGGUUGGUAGUUACUUUGAGGUGAUUUGGCCACACAUAUUGAACUUUGUUUAAUUCACUCCCAUUGUUUUUGUUAGUCGUGGCUAAAGCUGAAGUUAGUAGUGGCUUAAAAAACUCCGAACAAUGGAUUACAGUUUUUCCAAGCACAUGGACUACUUUCAGAGUAAAGAACUAUCAGACUAUAAGGUGUAAAAAGUGAACUAUCCCUUUAACUACACUGCUGGGCAGCUCUCACUGCAGGAUUUCAACCUUGUACGCCAUUUUACAUUUCUCAGGGAAAGAAGUGUAGUGAAGUGGUUUGGAUUGUUGAAAGGAAUCAGUUCUGUGUCUUUUGCAAUAGAAACAUGUUAAAUUCUUGAAGUUAACUUUUUUUAUGUGAACUUUAAAAUGUACAUAUGUGCAACUUAUGGUUGAUUUCAGAGAUCAUGCAGAGGAAAAAUGGCUUAACAUUAAUAUUUGAACUUGAAGUUUUGUAUUUGAAAUGUUCACAUUUCUGAAAUAAGUCAAAUAAAGUGAAGUUUGAAUGUU